rnacentral:misc_RNA from 1 species
UGGCCGAUCAACACACACACAAACACUUACACGCACAUGAGCAGCUCACGCAGUCACAAUCCACCGAGAGCGAACACGUAAAGCACAGGUCUAAGCCGCGGCCUCCGUACAGGCCACCAUCGCACGACGAAGGCGGCGAGAAAGAAAGGAGGUGGGGGCUUAUAGCCUCUCUCUUCUCGACAGCGACGCACCAAUAGAGGUCCUCCAACAACAAAACAAAGAGAGGAGGAGGAGGCGACGGUGACGCGACUGAGCGACAGCACGGCGACGUGUGUGUGUGUGUAUCGUUUACGCUUCUCGCCUUCCUUGCUAUUGCUGUUGUUCUCGUUGGGUGUGCGAGGGCGAGGCAGGCGGGCAAGAGCGGCUGCGGCACUUCGCUUGCUCGUCUCCUUCGGACCCACUUCGUCCUGCAUUCACCCCUGCCCGCUCUCUUCUGCACGUCCCCGCCCUCACGAGCACAGACGCCAGAAGACGCAGGUGUGUGGGGAGGGGAGUCGACAAAAAGGCUCUCCUCCGAUCCUCCCGCCCUCCCCUUCCAUGCCAUCUUUCUCGUUUUCACGCACCACAGUCGCGUAGGCCCCAUCGUCUUCCUCCUCAGACACUCGCACAGCCCGUCAUUUUCUUUUGCAAGGACGUCUCAGCCCUCCUAGCGGCAUGCCCGGGUGUCACGUACCUCCUGCAAGACCGACGCCGCGCGUCGGCGCCCGCUCAUUUGAGGACAGCUCGCUGAUUUCUUCCACAUCUCCGCCGGCAAGCACCAUACCCGACGCUACCUGCAAGCGUGCAUCAAGUCUCAGUAGAAUUCAACUACAACAGCGCCGGGAGGAGCAGCUGCGCCAUGCCCUAGAGCGCACAAGCCCGUCCCAGGCGGAGGUAUCUGCCGUAGCCGGCGCGGCCUACGUGCAGGCGCUGAUGGCGCUCAUUGAUCAGCAUGAGACGACUGUGCAGCAGGUGAUAGAUAAGAUCGACUUCCUGCGCAGGGAACGAGAGGCUCGAUACACUGAAUUCAAGCAGGAAACGCAGCAGCGUGAGGUUGAGCUGCAGCACCUGCGUAACGAGCGCUCCGACCUGUCUCUGCAGGUACAGGAGGAACGUGAGCGGUCGACGCGGCUGCUGCACGAGAACACAGCACUCUACGCGCAUCAAGCCGAGCAGCGAGAGCAACUUGGAAAGCUUGUGGAGUUGUGCCGCGCACGCGGGCAGCGACUGCGCGCUCUCAGCAACCAAAAUUCCAGAGUAGCGGGGAGCACCUCGCACCGGCGUCGGCCUCCAUCGACCGACGCCGGUGCAUCAACAGGGGCUUCGUGUGACGACGCGAGAGCCGCAGAUGUCGGGGAUGAAGAGAACACUCUAGAGCUGAGCAGGACGGAGGUUGGCACAAAGGGCGCUGGAGCCCCCGCAAUGGCGGCCCCCUGCUCGCCUUCGCCUGCGCUCGCGUCUCCACCGGCAUCGAUGAGCAUACACAAGGCUGUUGGUGCCACCACCUCUGCUCGACGUCCAGCACUGUCGCCGUCGCCGGCUGCGCUGGGCACUGUCGCCGAAGAUGCCGAGAUGGCAGCGUUGCUCAACGUGCCGUACAAGUUGCAGGUGCCCAGCACUCCGUUUGGUCCGUCGGCGCACACCAUCACGGCGAACACGGCAGCCGCAACGCACCUGCUGGCUCUCAACGAAGAAGUAAAUAUGCUUCGCCAGCAACUGGAGGAGCAGCGCAUCACGUACGAGCAGGAGCGUGGCGUGAGGACGACUGAGAACGACGAGCUACACCGUCAGCAUCUCGAGAAGGAGGCCAAAUACCUCGCAACGAUCGAUCAGCUCGAAGUGCUGCAUGAGGAGAGCCUGCGCGACUUGGUGCAGUAUCGCCACACCACAGAAAAGCAGCUUCGCGAUGUUCGCGGGCAGGUGGAUUGGCUGCGCGCAGCACUACAGGAGGCGCUCGAUCUGGCGGAGAAGGAGCGUCGCCGGCAGCACAACGAGGUCUACGCUACAGAGCAGCGUAUGUCACGCCAGUAUUACCCCAAGGUGCAGUCCUUGCACGCAGAGCUGGAGGAAUGCCGCCGCGGUGCCCUCGCACAAGCGCAGGAAAACGCCAAAGCCAUUGCUCAAAAAGAUGCGCUCGUGGCCGAGCUGCGGCAGAAGCUCAAGGCUGAGGUGAGCCACCGAAGGCGCAUUGAGGAGCGCUACAAGCUGGAGAUGAAGGGUGUGCACAGCGAGCUGGACCUGAUGCGGCAGUCACUGCGGCAGAUGGAGCGGCGGGUGUACUACCGCGAUGUGCGCGAUCAGGCCUCCGAGGAGGCACAGCACGAGCUUGAGCGGUACUAUGUCUAGAAACGCCAAAGAGCCGCCUCAGAAUCGUUGGCGGGGAGGAAAAGGGGGUGGCAGAGGAUCGGAAGAGGCAGGAACGUGCAUACAUGAAGCGAGAAGCCGAGCAGCAGCGACGCAGGAGCAGUCCACACCAUGUCGAGCGGCUCGUUGUUUCGAAUAUGGUGCCUGUGUGUCUGUAUCGAACUACCUAUCUCCCUGUUACGCGGUCUUCUCCCAUUCUCUUUUCGGCUUGACCAUACGCCGUGCUCGUACUCGCCGAUCGUCAAGCAUUUUCGCUCUCGCUACCUCGCAGGGGAGAGGAGGGGGUCCGUCUUUUCAUGUCCACUUCUUUCAUGGCUUGGCACGCAUACCUCUUCGCCUCGCGCCUUAGCUCCUCGGCUGCAGUGAAGGUGAACUGGUAAGCGCGCUCGCUUGCGUGAUCUCUCCUCGCUUGUGUUCGUUGCCUUUUCUGGUGUACUUUCUCUCUGCUGUGUGUGUGUGUGUGUGUGUGUGUGUGUCGCUGCUUUUCCUUUUCCGUUGUGCGCGCGUGUAGACCUUAGAUCUGUGCCAAGGGAAGGGAGGCGUGAAGAGGCCUUCCCUGCUGAGGUGCAAAGAGAGACCGCCACAAGUGCUAGAAAGAACCGACACAACAGC